rnacentral:rRNA from 1 species
GCUGGCGGUGCGCCUUAUGCAUGCAAGUCGAGCGAAGCUUUUCAGUAGUUUACUACAGAAAAUGACUGAGCGGCGAACGGGUGAGUAACGCGUGAGCAAUCUACCUUAGUUACAGGAAUAGCCCGAGGAAACUCGGAUUAAUACCUGAUAUUCUUUUUAUCUCGCAUGAGAUCUUAAGGAAAGGUCAGCCGAACUAAGAUGAGCUCGCGUUCUAUCAGCUAGUUGGUGAGGUAAUAGCUCACCAAGGCUACGACGGAUAGCUGGUCUGAGAGGACGAUCAGCCACACUGGGACUGAGACACGGCCCAGACUCCUACGGGAGGCUGCAGCAGGGAAUAUUGCGCAAUGAGCGAAAGCUUGACGCAGCGACACCGCGUGUGGGAUGACGGAUCUAGGUUUGUAAACCACUUUCAGGAGGGAGGAAAUGACGGUACCUCCACAAGAAGCCCCGGCCAACUACGUGCCAGCAGCCGCGGUAAUACGUAGGGGGCGAGCGUUGUCCGGAUUUAUUGGGCGUAAAGAGCUCGUAGGCGGUUCAACAAGUCGGUCGUGAAAGUUCAGGGCUCAACCCUGAAAUGUCGAUCGAUACUGUUGUGACUAGGAUACGGUAGAGGUGAGUGGAAUUCCGAGUGUAGCGGUGAAAUGCGUAGAUAUUCGGAGGAACACCAAUUGCGAAGGCAGCUCACUGG